rnacentral:rRNA from 1 species
UUUUUCGAGAGUUUGAUCCUGGCUCAGGAUGAACGCUGGCGGCGUGCUUAACACAUGCAAGUCGAACGGGGUUAU